rnacentral:rRNA from 1 species
UACGGGGGGGGCUAGCGUUGUUCGGAAUUACUGGGCGUAAAGCGCACGUAGGCGGAUUUGUAAGUCAGGGGUGAAAUCCCGGGGCUCAACCUCGGAACUGCCUUUGAUACUGCAAAUCUCGAGUCCGGAAGAGGUGAGUGGAAUUCCUAGUGUAGAGGUGAAAUGCGCAGAUAUCAGGAGGAACACCAAUGGCGAAGGCAGCUCGCUGGGACGUGACUGACGCUGAGACGCGAAAGCGUGGGGAGCAAACAGG